CCUUAUCCACAACUCAAAAGAAACAAACAAGGAUACUACAGUAAUUUUGGAAUAGACAAUAUUUUAUUGUCAGAAUUACUGAAUUUUAUAAAAUGAACCAAACAUAGUUAUUCUAUAUACGUUGUACAUUAUUAUAUUAUUACUACAUUAAACCAAACACAGUAAUGCAGUAGUAAUCUGAUUCAAAAAUCUCAAAUACAUGGUUAUGUCGAAAUAACCUGUAAUGCUGCGUAACGCAAACCAAACACGCCUUAAGAUAAUAUUUGGUCCCACUCAAAUGCAUGUUGUCAGGUUACUAAUAAAUCACCUUUAGGAUGUUAUAAGACCACUGAAGACCGAAACCAGCAUUUUUGAAGAUUUUUUCUCAAAAACUUCUCUUUUAAGAAUCAGCAUGAAAAUUAGGAAGAAAAAAGAAUUUAUUACAUUGCCUUUGAUGCCUUCAAACAUUUUCUAUUUAUAAGAGAUAAUAGCUACGAUGAAAUGACACAACUUUUUAAAUUAUAUUUUUUCACAAAAAGACAUGUUUUUUCACAAAUAGUGAGAAGAUAUAUUCUUUCACAAAGAAUUCAUCUUUUUGUGAAGAAACAUAUCUUUUCGUAAAAAGACACAUCUUUACAUCAAAUGAAAAGACAUAUUUGUUCAUUUGAAUAACUAAUUCAUCAAAGAAACAGAAUCAUUCAUUUAAUUUUAAUUUUAAUUUUAAUUUUAAUUUUAAUUCUUCGAGUUAUUUUCUCAUAUCUAUUAUUACAAUAUAUGCUAGCAAUGUGGGUGAUUGCAAAAGAGAAACAUGGAAGAAACACUAAAGGCCUGUUUGGCCUAACUUCUAAAAAAGUGAUUUCUGAAAAAGUGAUUUUAGUUUGGAGAAUUGAUUUUGGUUAAAAGUUGUAGAGCGUUUGGCAGAGUUUAGAUAAAAGUGAUUUUUCUGAAGUGAUUUUGAAAAACUGUUUGGCAAAUUUUUUUUGAUGUUUGCAUAAAUUAAUAUUUUUAUUAAAUUUUAUUUUAAAAUAAUUUAAAAUCUAAAUUUAAAUUUGAAUUAAAAUUAAAAUUUUUAAAUUUCAAAAUUGUACAAAAUUUAAAAUUUGAUAUUUUAAUUUAAAAAAUAAUUUAAAAUUUUAAAAUUUUAAAAUUUAAAAUAAUUAUGAAAUUUAAAAUUUAAAAAUAUAAAUAUAAAUUUAAAAAUAUAUAUAAUUAUGAAUUUUAAAAUAUAAAAUUUUAAUAUAUAAAAAUAUAAAUUAAAAUUAAAAUUUCAAACUUUAAAUUUAGAAUUUAAAAUUUAAAAUUUAAAAUCUAAAUUUAAAAUUUAAAAUUUAAAAUUUAAAUGUAAAAAUAUAAAUAAUUAUGAAAUUUCAAAUAUAAAAUAUUAAUAUUUAAAAAUAUAUUUAAAUUUUAAAUUUCAAAUUUCAAAUUUUAAAAUUUAAAAUUUAAAAUAAUUAUGAAAUUUAAAAUUUGAAUAUUUAAAAUUUGAAUAUUUAAAUUUUAAAUUUUAAAAUUUUAAAUUUUAAAUUUUAAAAAUUCGAAAUUUAUAAUUUGAAGAUUAAAAAUUAUAAUUUAAAAUUUAAAAAUUUUAAAUUUUAAAAUCUAAAAGAAGUUUGAAAUUUGAAAAUUAAAAGUUGAAAUUUGAAAUUUGAAAUUUGAAAAUCUAAAAUUUGAGAUUUGAAACUUAAAAUUAAAAUUUAAAAUUUAAAGUUUCAAAUCUACUUUUCAAAAUUUAAAAUUUAAAAAUUCGAAAAUAAAUCUGAAAAUUAAAAUUUAAAAUUAAAAUUAAAUUUAAAUAUUGAAAUUAAAAUAAAAAUAAAAAUUUGAAGUUUAAAUCUAAAAUCAGAAUCAGAUUUUAAGAAGCAGUUUUUUUCUGCUUCUGAUUUUGGGCCUUCAAAAUCAGUUUUCUGAUUCUAAAAAGCCGAAUCAGAUUUUAAAAAUAAUUUGCCAAAUGCUCUAUUGAGUCAAAAAUCACUUUUCAGCCCAAAAACGUUUUUUAAAAGCUCGGCCAAACACCCCCUAAGUCCCUCACA
rnacentral:lncRNA from 1 species